UGAAUUUAUGUAAUUUAUUUAAGCCAAAAUACAUUGUACGGCUGUCAGUAAAUAGAAAAAAAUGUUUAUUUCACAAAUAAACAUUUCUUUUCGCUUAAAUUAAAUCACAAACAGCCUCCCACAUACCUCUUGGCAGUUUGAACAUUUAAUUUAAGCGAAAAGCAAUGUUUAUUUGCCAAAUAAACAUGUAUUUUGAGUUAAAUAAAUUGCAUACAUUCUUCUUUUUUCGUCAAUUAAUUUAAUACAAAAAUUAUUAUUUUGGCCACCCUGUAUAAAUAAUGAUAUUCAUGUUUAUAUUACUGUAUAGAGAAUUGAACACCCUUUCAAAUGAGGUGCCACACGACCCCUAUUCCCAUUUAAAAAAAUCAUCGAUUCCGUCACCACGCUCAGAUGGAUGACGUCACUAGUAUGAAAUAUAUGGCAAAAAAUUGUAAUUUGAAAAUAAAAAUCGACCUAUUUCGGGAUUUUUCUCUAAAGUCGUCCAUUUUAGAGAAAAUGAAUUUAUUCCAUAAUUUAGAUCCUCUUCUGUAUGUGCACUUAUAUUUUAUACCUCUAUUUCUAAUGUAAUUAUCGAGUUUGAAAAAAUACAUUUGAUUCACUUUUAGGAAGAAGAUAUUAAAAAAGGCAAGUGUUAGGAUGUAGUAAUUCAAUGGAUUAUUCAAUAAAUAUGAAAAUAUGGACAUUAUAGACAAAAUAUUGAAUAAUUUUUAGAACGUGUAAUGACAUGUUUUUAAAUCUGCCGCGUUUAGGAUUCCGAUCCUGAUUAAACAUUUGGCAACAUCGCGGAAUGGGUUGUAAGAUCUAUCCCUACCACGUCUCACCCAUAGAGGUAUAUAUUGACAUAGAGAGAGUAUCAUUCGGAGCGAAGUGACGACACCAUCUUUUUUCUUUGGAUUAGUGCUACUUCACUCUUACACAUAGUAAAGCUGCGACAGUAUGAUAAACGUCAUUUUUAAGUUAGGAGAAGUAUGAAGUUAGCUGAUGUCUUUCCUGUUAUUUUUAUUUUAGUCACUGUUUACAUUUAUUUGUAAUUUGUAGAUGUUUUUAGACAAAUAUUCUGUUUGGUUUUGUUUUUGAUUGUUAAUUGUGCAGCGAAAUUGUGAUAGUAAAUUAAAUAUAAAGUUGUUUAUCGCCUACAGAACUGAAUUAUCCCAUAGUAAUUAUCAGUUUGUGUCAAUUUGUUUAAAAAAGAAAAAACACCUUUCCUUGUGUUUGACAGACUUGUAGCAAGGGCUUUCUUGUGGAUCCUGUAAAUUGCGGGAAUAGGACAGACAGGGAUAAAAUCCUCACUUUUUACUAUUCCCAAGGCUAUACAUUUCCCCCAUGCAAUACAUUUAAAUGAAUUUUAUCCAAACAAAGGCAGGAACAUUAGAUAAAAGCAAUAAGGAGAACAGACCUCAAAUUAAAAUAUGAGAGUAUACAGUAAACAUUUUAUAAGUGGAAUAAACACCAGCUAUUUUAAAUGUAGGAAAAGGAGAAACUGCUGGAACCUAACUUUACACAAAUGUUUUUGACUAUUGAAGAUUUGGAUAAACAACAGAAGUUACUUUGGGCUAUAGCUAUGUGCAGAUUUAUUUCAUUGUGGAUUACUAUGUUUAUUCUUUUUAACUAUACUUCCUACGUUGUUUGUGAGAUUAAUAUUAUUAUUUAAUUGAUUAUAUUAAUAUUUUGUAAUAAUAAUCAAUGCUUUGGUUUAACAAAUAGACAACUUAAAAUAGAAAAA
rnacentral:lncRNA from 1 species